GGAGAAGUACUCAAGUGGCUCAAGAGGAUCCCCUGCUAAGGGAUUAGNNGGGUUCGAAUCCCUCCUUCUCCGCCA
rnacentral:tRNA from 1 species